CACCGACGCUGCAGCUCAGUCUCAGUUCUGGGACCCGCAACAAGUUUCUUUAAGCCACGGCCGAAACCCCGCCCCUCCUGGUCAGGGUUGGCAGGCGCGUCCUUCCCGAGGCGGAGCUUGUAUACCCCGCCCUGAACCCAAAGAAGCCUGCGGACCCCGCCCCACCCUCCGCACCACGUGGGCCAGGCGCCCCGCAGCCUGAUCCCUCCACUGAGGUAGGGUCAGAGGGCUUAGGGUGACUGACUGCCCAGGGCGUGGAUCUCUGCAGCUCGGCUUGACUUUCGGGCGGCAGGCGAGGAUGCUAAUCCGCAAGGUUCCUGAGCCCAACAUCCCUCUCUCCAUUGUGGGACUCAAAUCCGCUAUUGCAACCAAACUCGGUUUCUGCCCGCAGGGUGGCGCAAUGACAAGAGCCACCAGGUGACCCUAGUAGCUCGCGAACCUAGCGCUUAGAGAGAAGGCGGAGAGUGCUCAGGGUCAGAGAGGGGACGUUUCUCCAGAGGCCAGCGGCAAGCCGGGACUCCGAGCCGCGCCCGAGGUCGCCCCCGCGAAUUGGCUCCCAGCCUGGAGGUCUCCCAAGUGCAACUAGGAGUCUCUGCCAAACUCCAUGGAGGCGAUAUACCUGCCACCCUAAGUUUGUCUGGGUGGCAUCGAGCUGUGGCUCGCAAGAGCUCGGUAACCCUAAACGAGGCCACCUGUUUCUCAAGCCAGUGGAGGUGGCUGCAGGGAAGAACUGUGGUCUCUAUAAUCCCCCCAACUCCAGCCAAGCCGUGAGUGGUGCCCUAGCCUCCAGGUCUGGGAUCCCAGCCUCCAGUCAGACUUUCCCUGCGGAUCUGGAACAGGCCUGCCCUGUGCAGCUGUGGCCUUAGGGCAUCUACAGCUCUGGACUGAAGGAGUCCCUGCUUCCUGCUGAGGGGACAGCUAAGAGAAACUACCUUAAUGGUGACCUUAUUCUAAUUACAUACUCUCUCUCUGUCUCUCUCUCUCUGUCUCUCUCUCUCUCUCUCUCUCUCUCUGUCUCUGUGUGUGUGUGUGUGUGUGUGUGUGUGUGUGUGUGUGUGUUGUGUGGAUGGAGAGCUCGCUGCCAUUGCCUGCUGAACUCUAGCCUUAUUUUAACCAUCACCUGCCAAGAAAGACCCUUCCCCGCACAUCUGCAGUAGCAGUCCUUUCCCUGGGGAUCCCUCCACUCAGGGUCCCACCUCUUGGAACAAAAGUGUCUUGGAGGCAUAAAGACCCCUGCUGGCUAGUGCACCGCCCAUACCAGCCAAAGAAGUGGCAAAGCAAAGGAUGGAGACUGGGCCCACAUCAUAGUCCUCUCAGGACCUGACCCCUAGGGUCUCAGGUCCCAAUCCUCUGUGCCUCCAAGGACUCAUGCUAUCAGACCUGCAGGCCUUCAUAGAGACCUCCACGUUUCUAAGAAAGCACAAACCCGAGUUUUCAUCGAUUCAGUGCGGCUUCUUCCUGGCUCUCACCCAUAGCGAAUAAACUCACUUCUCUGCUCCCCAGACUGCUUGGACCUUGAAAGAAUGGAGGUGAACCAUCCUGGUUCCUAUCACUUGAGCUAUAGUGACGCCCUGACCCCUGGGGGACUAGUAGUCAGCCCUUGUAAUACAGGUAUAGAUCACCAUGGGCUGUCAGGAGCUGAUGCAGCCCUGCUCAGUCCAAGCAUCGGCAUGCAAGGGGUGCCCCGAGCUCUCCCAGGCUCUGUGCUCAGAACUGAGCCCAGUGCAGCCUGUGGGUGCACAGUGAGUGCUCCAAGCCCAUGCCAAACUCAUUGCUGGGUCAUCUUAAAAGACCAGUCCACCCUCCAGGUCUUUAGACUCCUUUUAAGCCGAUUGGUCACAUCCUCAGCCACCAGAGAGACCCUGGUCAGACAUGAAGCUGCAGCUUCUAGAAAGUUCUUCAGGGCGGGCUCAUGUGUUCCCUAGGACUGAUCAAGCGCAGCAUCAUGCCAGGGCCUUCUAGGACCAAUUCAUCAGGACCCAGCUUCCUAGCCUCUGACCUGGAGUUCCUAGUGUCAGGGAGGGAACCUCCUUCCUCAAGAUGCACCCUGUAGGGAAGACUUUAGAAGGAUGGUCCCAGAAAUCUCAAGGAUGUGAUGAUUUAGCUGAGAUCUGAAGCCUGCUACUUCUGUAAAGGGAGAAAACAGUAGUCCCCGUGGGCAGCAUCAUGUGCAAAAGGCCCUGCAGCCCCAGACAGCACAGGGCGUUUAAUAGCACAGGAAUCUAUAGAUCUUUAGAAACAUGAGUGGAACCUAUUGAAACCACCUCUCAGUUUUUACCUUGUGGGCCAUCGGACCUUGUCCGGGUGUGGACCAGUUCCUCCUUCUCUUUCUUUUUCUUCCUGCCCCCACCCCCACCCCGCCUCUUUGGCUGCUGCUAGUUUUGCCCCAGUCCGAAUGACCUUUCCCUAACCCCGGACUUCCCCAUUACCAUGUGGGUUUUGCAGUUCUAGAGUGAAGAUAUCAUUGGCUGAACUCGUUCAGGUUCCCAUUCCUGGACCAGUGCUCUUGGAGCCUGGGGAAGGGUCAUGGAGUGGGUCUGUGAGCCUCAGGUUAGCUUCUGUGCCCUCAGUCUUGGCCUGCUUCUCCCUUUUCCCCUGCAUCCAGAGCUGUAUGCCAGGCAGUUGGCAGAGCAUCCCAGCACAGCCGUGGAGAUUUUUAAUUGUUGGCCUGGAAGAGACAAAUGUGGAGGUGGUGAAGGGUGAACUCAGAGCAGGGCUCCUGUAGACCGCUGCCCUGUGCACUGGGUUCCGAGAGGCAGUGGGUCCUCCUUGGGAUUGCACAGUUGGUGAUUUUAAAGUCUACUUGUCAGUCCCAGAAGUCUGGACUCCCAGUAACAUGCUCGGGGCACUGGGCCAAGCAGGCAGCCGCCCACCCCUAUCUUAAGCCAGUGGCCUCAGGGAUGCUGUCAGAGCUGUCUAAAGUGGAAGCGGCAGUUGGGAUCAGAGCUAGUCCCUCAAUAGAAUUGUCAUCUAUGGGGGAGCUUCUGGUGUCAGUAACCACCCCUCUCAGAUGCUCCGUGCGCCAUCUCUCAGGCCUACAGGAGCAGUCUUCCUGUCUUACCACAUCUGCAGCCUACUCCCGUGUUAGGCCAUGUUAUACUGUGUGCUCCCAGCAUGCCUCUGGAGCUUCUGGGUUCCUGAAUUUCAAGCUGGGCCCCAUCCUUCACCCUAUCAGGGCCCUAGGUGGAGCUGACUCCCAACAGUUUGCAGUGGGCCUUGGGACUUCCUCCUCGGCAUUCGACAGUUGGUGUUUUUGAAGUCAGAGCCACCCUCAGUAGGGUCCUCAGAGCAUGCAAGAAGCUUUUCCUGGGUGGAAACCCACUCCAUGCAGCCUUCAGACAAAGUGUCCCGGAGAGACACUGAUGGGGACUCACUCACUCAUGGGCCACCUGAUUGAUCUCUGUGCUCAUCCUCCCAAGCUCUACGCGUCAGAUCCAGCAAGGCUUCCUGCCCAUUCCUGGUGUCUGCAGUUACAACUUUACUAAUCAGAACUCUAUUUCCAGCUUAAGCUGUAAGGCAAAAGGGUGACUUAGAAUAAAAAUGUAACAAACAGCCCUAUAGCCCAAACCUCUUCUGCCAUGCUCGAUGGUUCCAGAUACCUGUAAGUGUUCAGGGCAAAUUAAACGCACCAAUAAAUGGUUUUCUUGUGUC